rnacentral:rRNA from 1 species
UACGGGGGGGGCAAGCGUUGUUCGGAAUUACUGGGCGUAAAGGCGCGUAGGCGGCCUUCUAAGUCGGACGUGAAAUCCCUCGGCUUAACCGAGGAACUGCGUCUGAUACUGAAAGGCUUGAAUCCGGGAGAGGGAUGUGGAAUUCCAGGUGUAGCGGUGAAAUGCGUAGAUAUCUGGAGGAACACCGGUGGCGAAGGCGGCAUCCUGGACCGGUAUUGACGCGUGAGGCG